ACACACACACACACACACACACACACACACACACACACACACACACACCGGCAAAAACACAAAGAGGAAAGAUGGAGUAGGGGGGAUUAUAAGAGGAGAGAAGGGAGCCAGAUGUUGAGACAGAAGCAGGAGAAGAAAAGGGAAAGUGAUGGAGAGAGACGGAGGGAGCGAGGUAUGCGGGGUUUUCUAGGAGGCUGACCUAGAUAGACGGAGAGGAUUGGACACACUUUGUCUCUGGAGGGACACUGUCACAGCUGCAGCGAACUGCGCGUGUACGAGUGUGUGUGUGCAUGUUUAUAUAU